rnacentral:tRNA from 2 species
GCCCUCGUAGCUCAGGGGAUAGAGCACAGGUUUCCUAAACCUGGUGUCGGACGUUCGAAUCGUCUCGGGGGCACCA